CUAUAUUGUAUUGGGAGGGAGGGGUGAAAUGAUAUGUUUGCCCCGCUACCUAUGCUUUGAACGGUGGGAUGACCGAAGUAGAGAUACUUACAGAGGCCUUUUGUAUACAUGGUACAAUUUUCAAAAAAUUUUUAAAGGCGCACUUAACUCACUUUUUCCACUAACUUAAAAAUAGUAUUUUUUACAAUUUUGUACUAAAAACCUAAAAUCCUCAAAAACUCAUAAUUCAAUUUCAUUUUACGGGUCCUGUGGUUUAUUUGUUUAAAGUAGAUAAAAUUGUGUUGGCCGACAGAAAUACUGUUAAAUUUAAUAAGUG